rnacentral:tRNA from 1 species
UACCGCGUAGCUCAGUUGGAAGAGCAUUGGGCUAGUAUUCCAAAGGUUGUAGGUUCGAAUCCCACCGUGGCCG